rnacentral:sRNA from 1 species
UAUAUAUUACAUGUAUAUAUAUGCUUGUCAAGGUAAAUUCCGUGUGUCUCACUACCAGGUUGCCUAGUUCCUUAAAAUCCUUUCCGUACUUACUUAUUUCAUCACUCGGUUUGUUGAAGGCUGACAUAAGACUUCCCUCUGUUAUUGUGUGUGACCAAAUUAUUUCAUAUGCUUUAAUAUUUUCUAUUCAGAAAAAAUACCCAUGUGUGUGAUAUUUCUAAUGUUUUCCAUAUUAAAUUCUAGAUUGAUUAAUGUUGAUAUCACCGUUCUUUCUUUCCUGUGUGUUUUCUUGGCAUUCCUGUGUUCCCCCGAUCCGUCCCAUUUUGUGUAACACAGAAUGUAUUUAGAACUGAGACCCUUCCAACCUCUUUGCCUUGUAGCCGAAAUAAUGAAACCAGCUACCCUUAGGUAAUAAUGUGCAUGCUUGACCUCACUUUUAUCACCCUGUCUCGAACUUCCUGUUUUUACCUCUCCUUUCUAAUUUUCUUACUUAGUUUUUUAAUUUAAUUUUUUCCCCUGAGCAUGCAUGAGCUGUUUUAACUAAAGUGAAGAAUAGAGUUUCUGUGUUUCAGCAUUUUUCCUUCUGUCCCCCCUUUCCUGUCCUGAGGAAAAUCUAUAUUGCCACCUUAGUGUGCCCACUACGGCCACAUGUUUCCAGUCUCCCUAUCUCAUGUCUCCAGAUGUCUUCUCAACAUCAUGCUCAUUUUAAAUUUUUUGUGCUGUUUCCCCCUUUGGGCUUCCAGGCACGGCUCUGCACGUGAGCUUAGCCAAAAGGCUGAAAGGUCUUCAUUCUGCAAACGUGACGAACGCAGUGGUUUUCAGCACGUGGGUCACGACCCCUCAGGGGUUAAAUGACUCUCACAGAGGUGCUUAAGACCAUCGGAAAACACAGAUAUUUACACUAUGAUCCGCAACAGCAGCAACAUCGCAGUUAAGGAGUAGCAAUAAUAAUCUUACGGUCGGGGUCAGCACACCAUGAGAAACUGUAUUAAAGGGGCACAGCAUGAGGAAGGCUGAGAACCAUGGCUCUAAAGGGAUGCCUGCCUGAACCUCUCUCGACAGUUCAGCCCUGAGCUGAGCUUCUCGUCUGCUCACACAUUCUGCUGCUAUUCUUCAGAGCCCUCCCUCAUGAAGCCACCACACCCCCAGGCACAGAUACAGAAGCCAGGGAGUGACCCUGGGCUCCCUUGCCCUGCUUCCCACCCCUCCCUUAAGCCUUCUCUCCUGAUUCUCCACUCCUGCAGCCUUUGCUCAGCCCUCUCAUCACCCUGAUUUCCCCUCAGAGCCCCUGUGUGGGCCAUAUUAUAUGUAUAAUGGCCGUAUUAUUCCCCACGUAAUAGUUUCUCAGGGUCCCUUACAUUGUACAUGAAAAACCUACACUCUUUUAUGCAGCAGACAAGACCCUCUGUAGUUGGGCUGCUGCUCACGUUUCCAGACACAGCUCCUAUCACUUUCUCAUGCAGACUUCGCUUCAGUAACUGAGCUGUGUCCCAGGAACGGCCUCUGAGACUUUGCUCAUGCCAUUCCCUCUCAUUCUUUACGACUUUUGGCUCAAGUUCUCCAGAUCGUUAUCUGGCUUCUUUGAUCUACUAACUUCUCAGUUUGUGGAUUUACCUCUGACUUUCAUCUAAGAUUAGCACUGUUUUGUUUCUGGCUCUGUUACACAUCCUUGCUAGAAAACACUUGACCUCCCUUAGAAACUGGUUCUGUGUGGAGCACACAGUGGGUGCUCAGUGACCUUCCUUAGAAACUGGUCCUGUGUGGAGCACACAGUGGGUGCUCAGUGACCUUCCUUAGAAACUGGUUCUGUGUGGAGCACACAGUGGGUGCUCAGUGACCUUCCUUAGAAACUGGUCCUGUGUGGAGCACACAGUGGGUGCUCAGUGACCUUCCUUAGAAACUGGUCCUGUGUGGAGCACACAGUGGGUGCUCAGUGACCUUCCUUAGAAACUGGUCCUGUGUGGAGCACACAGUGGGUACCCAGUACACAUGUGGGUUCAUGACUCAGUGUCUGUUCAGGAAUGUACUUGCUGUGAUGGAAUGAUUUAGGUGUUUGGGGCAGCAAGUUAAUUUGAACAGAGCAGGAGCACAUGGCUGUUGGCUUCCUAGUAGUUAAGAAACAGCGCCUUGUGACUAUUCAAAGUCAGCUAGGUGCACGGCACUAGAAAAGGGAAGAGACUGUACUUCUAACAGUGAUGACCUGGACUCAGAUUCUUGGGUUCAUGGACAUCGUUGCUGAUGAAACUUUAGCAUGGGGGUGGUCUGGACAGCAGCACCUGCCUUGGCUCUUCAAGAUUCUGGAAAGAGCAUCUGCCAUCACAGAAGACGUGGAGAGAUAUUUUUCUAGCUCAACCACUUUAAUUAGAGGUGAGGCCACUGUGGCAUUUGUUCUGUUGCCCCAGAGCUGAGAGGGACAGAUGUGCAGUGGGCAAUGAAAACAUUCAGCAACUCAAUACCUGAGGAUCGAAGUGGGCUGCUAGGCCGUGGCUGCUGGGAACUUCCACAGCAGAUGGGCCAUGAGGAAAUGAAAAGUCAUUUCCUGCGUGGACAGCCACACUGACAAUGACACUGCUAGGCACCAGAACACCACCUCCACCACACAGAGCACACAGAAAGGAAGGUAAGGCUCAAACGGCCAACUGGGAGGGCAGCUAUGGCUUUAUCAGCCGAUUGGUGACCACUGAGCUUUCCCUCUGGCUGUGCUUGUCAGCCGCUCACAGCCUCUGCUUUAGCUGGUCACACGAGGGAGGUGGGCUGGUGGCAUCCCCGGCGCCACCUCACAUGCCUGUGUGGGGAACCAGGAGAGAUGACGGACUGCUGUUUGUCUAAGCGUGGUGCAUGUGCAAAAGAAUGGUUAUUAUUAAUUAUUAAGAUGACCUCUCACUUAAACCUCGGCUAUCUUGUGCUCCUUUUCUCCACAGACCGUGUACGCCAUGCAUCUCAGUACUUGGGAGGCUGAGGCAGAAGCACUGUGUGGAUUGCGGCCAAUUCUUAAAGGAGAAGUAGAUAUUUUGACAUGAACCCAAACAUUCAGAAGAGAAGGUUAGAAGAAGGAAGUCCACCCUGGAGAGGCCCUGCUCAGAGGAGAGAUGGUGACUCCUCCCUGCUGUGAGCUCCAGGCCAGGCUCACCUUGGGUAGGUGGAGAGCUCUCACCACUUUGAUUGGUUUGCUUAUUAAUGUUUCAGUAUGGUCUUUCACUAAACACAGCCUUGAACUUGUAAUCCCUCUGCUUCAGUCUCUCAAGUAGUUAGGACAUCAGGCAUGUGCCCCUACUCUGGGCCUGGGUUCCUUGUUGAGAUAAUGACUUGAGACACUUUCUCGUCUCCUUCUCCAAUCUCGCUUUCAAUAACCUAGAAGCUUUUAGAUAUGCCACAAAUUAAUACGUAUCUCUUGUCAUGACUGAACAGCACUCUAGGAUGCUAAAGCAACACAUGGUUCAAAUAACUACAGCACAGUUUUUAAUCUAUCCACAAUCAUACAAGGGGCCACCACCAGCACUGACGCCAUCCCCAUUGAUGGCAUCACGUCCAUCGCUAGCCUUACUGCCACCAUCACCACCACCUUCAGAAUAUGAGUCCUUUAAUGAGAAAGUAACUUGGAAACAUUCCUUAACUUGGGGGGGGGUUGUGUGCUGGUGUUAAUCCCAGAAAAUAUUCUGAAAUAGGAUUUGGAAACAACUUUGAGGACUAAAGUUGUGAUCUCGAAGAGGUGACGUGAGCUCACUAAAAGUGCUUUACCCCAAGCCAAUGGUGUUGCUUCUUUAACAGGGAUAUUGAACAUCAGACCAAAGGAAUAUCAUUGAUAGCGAAUCAGGACCUUCCCAAGAUGUUUGACAAGCUUUGGUUGACGAUCUCUUGGAAAGGAGUACAGUGAAGCCAAGAGGGCUACGAGUCAUGUCAACAUCACCGCGCACAUCGAUACGUAGGCAACACAUGUAGCCUUUGAAAAUCCCAUCUCUCCUACCAGCCUUGCAAACACAGGCAAAGCUACUCAAACUGUCUGAGGUUCACCGUCCUUGCCCGAGAGAUGGGGUUAUUAAUAUCAGGCUCCUAGUGAUGACGUGGAUAUGUGAACCCGUUGUCUCUGAUGUCUAUUGUCAUCGGUCCCGUCCAGAAGGACAUUUCUGACAAUCUUGACCCAGUGGCAGUAGAUUGGUGAUCAUUUCUCCUCAGCAGGCCUACAUGGUCGGGAUCGAUCUAGCUAAGCAGAAAGGGGCUCUGAUGGAUGGGUAAGGUUGUGAUUUUCCUUCUUUUCCUGUGCAUGACAUUGGGCUGUCUCCUACAGGACAAAUAGAACACUUCUAAAACAAACAAAUACACAUGCGCAAGAAAAAAGAGAAAGAAAAAAAAAGUAAAAGUAGAAAACUAGAGAUGAUGACGUGGGGCUGAGGGUAGGGCACCGGAGGCAGCAGUGGCAGAGGCACAGGGACCCGUGGGACCUUCUCUUUCCAUGACGCGGGUGUCUGCGUGGGGUGGUGGCGGCCGUGAUGUUAUUUCAGCAGAAUGACUUUUGUCCGUUUCACACCACAUUUAGAGUCACCAGGAGUUUACUCUCAUCUGUAAAAUAUGUGGAGUUCACCCGUUUCCACAGCCAAGAAUUCCCUUCUGCCAGUGGGCAGUGGAGGUCCCUGGGUGGAACCGCAGCCAAGAAAAGCUUUCUGCAAAGGGCAGAGGAGCAGGGGGCUGGGUGUCUAGGCAUCUGGGGAGGAAGCUGCAGAUGUGACUGUUGCAAAGCACUGAAGGACCCGGGUGGUUAAUUCAUCCCCGGCUACUAGCAGGCAGGGUGAUGAAACCAAGAAGAGACAGAGGCCCUGAGAACUCUUACACUUCCUUCCCCACUCGAUAAGGGCGAAGCAGAUGAAUGGAUGGAUGCUGGUACUCUGUGCUCAUACGUCAGCCGUCAGCCACGAUCCACUCUUUAAUCCACCUUCCCUGGGGAGCUUCUCAGAGCUACCCUCAGCCAGGCCGACACACUUGGUGUGAGCGCGUUCUGCGACACAUGCGCCAGACUCAUUCUAGAGAAGGCCGACUUGAAGGAGAACCCAGAUGGGGAAGUCAUGGUUGCAGCAGGAGCUGGGACAACAUGGAGCUGUUCUGUCCUUUACAACAAGAGGGUACUUGUGAGCAAGUUGGGAAGUGCCUGAAGCCAGCUUUCCCAAGGCAGGAGGUGUCCCCCAUGGGAAUGGAGAAUUGAGGAGUACUGUGGGGGAGAACUAUCUCUUGCAAGGAGCCACAGCCCAGGUGAUACAAGUGUCUCACUCUAUAACAUCUCCAACCCAGGGGACGAAACCCCACCCAUGUUCUUCUUGCCUGGCCGUGAGCCCUAUCUGCCUGGGAGGGAGGGCUACCCUUUCUCCAAUUGGCACACAGGCCUGACUGCUAAGCACUUUGCACACACGGAUGCCGUGGUUCAACUGGUAAGGAUUUAUGGAACACCUGCUGUACGCGCAGACUCUGGGUGAGCUGGAGGAGGCCGAGAGCGUCUCCAUUCCUAGGUGACACUCUCGGAUACACUGUGAAUACAGAGGAGGAAGCUGGCUUCUCUCUUUCGAGACUUUACAGUCCGUGCCAGCUACAAUCAGACAGUGGAAACGGUUAAGAAGCAAAGAACAAAAUAGAGAAUCAAAUGCCACACUGUAGAGCGCAGGCCCUCGGUGCGAGAGAAAGCAUCGCCCUGGACUUCCUCGAGGAGGAGGGCAGAGUUUUAAGAAUGGCACCUAUGUCCAUUUUCAGCCAGAGAAGAAGCUGUGGGUGGGACCAGAGGUGGUCAAGUUAUCUGGGGCCUCCCCGUGAAGAUUUCCAAGCCCAGCGGCUUCCCUGGUGCCUCUCCCAGUCACGGAGCACUCUGAUGAGUCACCCUUAUUUCUGAGAGACAGGGCAGUUUCGGGUGUUUAGCUGGCUCAACGCGUUGCAUUUCCUGAGCCUCCAAUGCUGGCAGCUCGCGCUCUCGCUCUGGGAACACAUCAUCCGAGCCAGCAGGUGUUGCCUGAUCACCAUCUCCACAGCAAAGCGAGGGCUGAGUCAGCCACCUGUGUCUGGAAAUUUUUAAGUCCAACGGUCUGUGACAAGUAGGUUGACAGUCGGCUCUCCGAGCACACCAAGACCAGGGCUACUAAGCGCCAGGUAGCUCAGUGGUUGGAGAUGUGAAGACCUGGCUUUGGGGACCUUGGGUUACCUUUCUAGACCUCACCUUUGUCACACACAGAGGACUCAGCGUUACAGCAGAUCGGCAUGCUCGCUUUGGACUUUGCAAUCAAAACGGGAUCUUUCUGCUCUCCCGAGCUGGCUUCAUCUAGUCCUCCUGGCCUUGCCUAACCUUGACUUUGGUGAUGAAGGCAGGGCUGCCCCUGGCACGUGCAUGAGCUUCUGGGAUGGAGAGAACAUAACCCCAGUUUCACCUUGAGUGGGGCUCACAGACCCACCCUCGAGAACAUAGGCAUAUUAUCCUCUCCAUGGGCCUCAGGGUUUGGUUUCACAGGAAAAAACAGAGGUCGGAGAUGGUCUCUACCACCAUUCCCGGCUCUCGUAUGCUGUUAAAUACUGCCACAGUGUUCCUAAACACUGCUGAUCACUUGGGUGGGACCCUCUAACGCAGCAGCCCGGAAAAAUCCUCACGACAGCAUGGCUAAACUUUGAAAAAAAAGCAUAAAAGGAAGCCAAAGUCUCGAAGGUCUCAGGAGUAAGAAACAGAUAUAAAUUCAAAUGAGGUCAGGCCAUCUGAACCCACUUUCUCUCUAGAAUGACACAGAAGCAGACGUGUGUGCAGGCUUCCACCAGCUUUACUCUGUUAUUACCUGAGGCAGAGUCUUUCCUGUAGCUCAGGAUGGCCUCAAAUGCCCAGCUCUCUGGCCUCAGCUUCCAAGGGCUAGGCGUCUGCCACCACCCUUGCCCCUCUGUCAGUUUCAGAAGUGCCGUGUAAGAACUCGGCUGAGGGUGGAAGAUGAUUUCUUCCCCUAACCGUCUGGAAGGAAGAAAAAUGCUGACCUGUGGUAAUACUCCCUCAAUCGUCUGCUUGCUAAGGGACAGCAAUGCACCACGGGCCAGGAACUCUGUCUCCGUGCUCCUAACAAUAGUAACUUAAAAAAAAUUAGAAUGGCAAUAUUUUUAACAUGUACAGUUAAUAAAUGUGCUGGCCCACAUUCAGGGCUGACUGCGGAACUCUUCCCGUGCCUGGAGCUAACUGUGCAGUGGCCCCGCAGUGGCCCUCGGCGGCCCUUGGUGGCUGUCUGGGGAAAGGUGAUGAAGAUACCUACCCACCUGAGGUCCCUUUAUGCUUAUUGUCUACAGGAAGACGGAUGGUGCCAAGAAGGGAAGGGAGGUGCGAGCAGGGUGUGCGAAAAGGCAGGAGAGAGCUUUCACCUUCCUGAGUAUUUUCGGCAAUGGGCUCUAAUCAUCCUGCUUGCGUGGGCUGGUAAAGAGGCUAAUUUUGGUUCGCUGCAUGACCCUGGGUCUGCGUUCUUUGCCGCCUGACCAGGAGCUGCUGCAGUGGAAUUCCUCAGUGAAUCUUCAGGGCGGGGUGGGCUGGGGAGGGGAUCGGUUCAUGUGUAUUGCCAGGAACCUCCCCGGGGAGGAGCAGGUCCUAAUUCCAGAAAUGACCAUAAACACUAAAGCCUGCCUCGCCACAGGACUUUCAAGAGGAUUGGAAUGUUUUUAGAAUUACCAGCCGCUUCUUUAUUUCUUGUUAACCAAUUUGGGGGGAAGGGGCAAAAAUGUCACAGAAGACAAGGAAUCAAGGGGGCCCCUGGUGCCAUGUCUCUCAUCCAUUCUUCCACCCUCUCCUGCCAGAAUUGCUGUGCUAGUUAGGGUUUUUAUUGCUUUGCUCGUUUCAACUGUAACUCUCAGGUGACACUCCAUCCCCGACGGCAGUCAGGACAGGGACGCAAAGGAACCUGAAGGCAGGAGGUGAUACAGAAGCCAUGGGGCAUGCCGGCUACCACCUUGCUCCCCACGCCAUGCUCAGCUUUCUGUUUUAUACAAACCAGGUCUACCUGUCCAGGGGCAGCAACACUCCCAGUGAACUGAGCCCUCCCACAGCCAUCAUUAAUCAAGAAAAUGCCCCUUCCAACUUGCCUCCCGCGAUCGAAUUGAGGCGUUUCCUCAAUCGCAGUCCCCUUCCCCAGAGAAACCAUAGCUUGUGUUAAGUUGACAAAACCAACCAGGACAGUUGCGUUUGAAAGUCCUCCACGUGUUCAGAAGUCCUCAGAGCAUUGGAUUCCUUGUCCUGAAAUAGCUGUCACCCGACUUGGGCAUAGGCAUAGGGGUAGAGGAUAAGCGACUGGGCAAUCUAACACAGAAUGAGUCAUGUAGCAGCCUGGUGAAUGAUGUGGCUGUGGCCACUGCUUUACAGUGAAGCCAGCUUUCCCUGAAUGACAUUCAUGGUCAUACGUGAAAUAGUCUUACUCAUCCGCUCGGGCUAUAGCGCCAUCUUCCAAACACACUUCACCCACCUGUUCCGUCUUCAGCUAGGAGGUGCUGGUUCACUGGAAGUGAAGACCUGCUGUCCUGCACCUACCUCUCCUCUUCCUCAUCCUCGUCAUUCUCCUCCUCUUCCUCCUAAGUUCCUUCUAAGGUUCGAGCUCCUAAAUCGACCCUGCUGUGCUCACACUAAAACCUCCUCAUGAUCCAUUUGAGUGUUUACAGGCUGCCUGGCACUUUGGUUUGCCCACGAGCACUUCACGUCUGCUGCCCUAUCCCAUCAGAGGGACAGGCAGCCAUCGAGCUCAUCCCUAGAUUGUACCUUAAUUGCUUUCCCAUCAUGCUCCAAGUGCUGCACACAGUCCAGUGUCGAGAACGCCAACCUCAAACACUGGCAUUACGUUUCUAGAACUGGAAGGGAAUAAAAGAAAAUCUGU